rnacentral:rRNA from 1 species
UGAUGGAGCAACGCCGCGUGAGUGAAGAAGGGUUUCGGCUCGUAAAGCUCUGUUGUUGGAGAAGAACGUGCGUGAGAGUAACUGUUCACGCAGUGACGGUAUCCAACCAGAAAGUCACGGCUAACUACGUGCCAGCAGCCGCGGUAAUACGUAGGUGGCAAGCGUUAUCCGGAUUUAUUGGGCGUAAAGCGAGCGCAGGCGGUUGCUUAGGUCUGAUGUGAAAGCCUUCGGCUUAACCGAAGAAGUGCAUCGGAAACCGGGCGACUUGAGUGCAGAAGAGGACAGUGGAACUCCAUGUGUAGCGGUGGAAU